rnacentral:lncRNA from 1 species
UUGCACCCUGUAUAUAUUACAUUAUAUUUUAUCUGUUUUCAGUUUGGUUUUUACGUGUGUAUUAUGUGCUAAUUGUACUAUUCUUCUGGAAAAGAAUUCGUUACUAUGAUGACAGCUAAAUAGCCAGCGAAUCACGGAAGGAUUGGAAGAGCAUGGACAAUUUUUUUAAUAUCCUGUGGAUGAAAAUCUUAUAAGAGAUUAUGUAUGUAAGCGAGAAAGAAAGACAGAGAGUGUUGAGAUGAGAGAAAGACAGACAACAGUGAGAAUGAAAGCAAGAGACAGAAAAAAAAA